rnacentral:lncRNA from 1 species
CCGAGUUCUCCGCCACACCGAGUGUGUUCCAGUCUGCACUGACUUCCGGCCUCGACCCCGACUUACUUCUCACCCGUUGUGCGAGUCCCCUUAUUAGGGAGGACUGACUUACUAGCAUAGCUAGACGUGUGUAUAUACCCUCUGGCAAGGUUGUAGCAGCAUAUACUAGCUAGACUGUUACGCCUCACAGAGUCGACGCCACUACUUACCAGAUGCUUACGAAGGCUCGUACAGGCUGUCCUUUUGUUUAUAUACCCUCUGGAAAGGUCUUGUAGCCGUAGCUACCCUUCCAGAGCUUACACAGCCGUAUCUAGAUAGGUCAGAUCCGACGGACAGAUAGGUCGGCAGGUAUACUUUUGUGCUGGGUAAACAUGUAGAUAACCGUGAUAACCUGAUGAUUGUGAUAUGGAGUUAGGCAUGGUGCUGCUACUUUAUUUUGUGAUGUCUCGGAUGGACUCAUGGAUGACAUUAUGGAUGAUGGACUACUAUGUUACUAUUUCAUUACCAUCUCGUAUGAUGCACUCUGUAAUGUUUUCAUUUCUUUUACUACCAUGCUACUAUUUAUGUGUAUCACCGACCUGUGUAUGUAUGAGUUGAUGCCACCAUGCUACUUCCAGUUCAAAGAUUCAUAUGAUGUAUAUUGCUUGAUCUCCUGUAAUUUUCUUACUCUGUCCACGUUCAUCUCUUGUA